AGAAAGAGAAGCAAGGGCGUACGGAGGAUGCCUUGGCUUCGGCAGGCGAGGAAGGACGCGGUAAGCUGCGAAAAUGCCCGGGGACCCGCAAACAGGGACUGAUCCGGGUGUGUCCGAAUGGGGCAACCCCCCAGGCUGAAGGCCUGGGACCGUCUAGUAGACGGGGCGAACCCGGGGAACUGAAACAUCUUAGUACCCGGAGGAGAAGAAAGAAACGAUCGAGUCCCCCAGUAGUGGCGAGCGAAGAGGGAAGAGCCUAAACCGUCGUGUUCGAGGACAUGGCGGGGUUGUAG
rnacentral:rRNA from 1 species